rnacentral:lncRNA from 1 species
GUUUAACAUGUAUUUUUCUUUUUACUAGGAAAAAAACUCAGUCCCGGGAGCAACUCAUUCUCUACCUUGCCCCUAAGACUAUUUCCCCGUCUAUGGAAGGCCGUGGCCAAGUCUUGUAUAGGCUCCAUGAUGCAGUUAAAAAUAGAACCUGGAGGUUUGCCGGGUCUUGAAGAGGGAGAAGGCAAGAGUUGUUGGAACCAGCCACAUCACCUGCCUUCCGCUGUAGGCAGUCAGAUCCCCAGUUUAAGGCUGCUGGAGUUGAGAACGGUGGAAAAGUAAGAGAGGAGAUUCAAAUUACUUGAGACGGAAGUUUUACAAGGAUUGAAUUUUAAUAAUCUGAAGGGAUAAGAAAGUUACAGCGUUUAUUCAACAUAUUGCUAAGGGAUGGGAGAGGGAGACCAACAAUCGCAAUGAAAAGCUGUAACCAGAGAAAAAUUAAAGUGUUUCACAAUUAUAUUCCACUGAGACUUACGUUUAUUAGAACUUGUCAAAAGUUGGUGGUAAUAAUAAUAACAAUGCAUAGCUAAUAUUUAUUUUUCACUUAAAAUUAUAGUCUGGGCUAAGUGAUUUACCAAUUAUGUGUUAUGCCAAAUGUGCAUUAUACCAGUUAAUUCCUACAGAGCCUCAGGGAGAUAGGGGAUAAAAUAUUACAUAUUAAGAAACCGAGUCUCAUGGAGUGUAACUUGUAUAAGGCCCAUCAGCCAGCAAGGGAUAAGAGCUGGGGUUUGAACCUCUGCUGAGGAGACCCACAAGCCCCUAUGUGCCCCAUGUCACUAUAAUGUCCCUAGUUGCUUUGAACCUCAUUGCAUCUGCCUCCCACCCAAAAAUGGGCUCUUCUUGGGGCCUGCUGGGAAGUGCUCACUCAGGUAUAUUGCAGCAACUGCCUACGACAUGCACCUAGGAGAUAUGGCUACUGUAAAUGAACAUAAUCUUUAAAUAUUGAGAUGGUUUUCAGUCUCCCUCAGAGUUUCUGGAAGCUCAACUUUACUAGUUCGUUAGAAAACAAAGUCAUAAUCCUAAUUCUAAGGACUUAGUCAUCAACCCAGCCUGGUUCUGGUUAAUAUGACCUUAGUCAGGACUCAACACCUCGUAAAACAAUGUUAGGUUGAUGUGAAAGAUAUAACUGCCACCCAUGUGGAGAAAAAUAAGGCCGAAUAUAAUAAUAUGCGUAUACUAUGGUUCUAAUCAAUUCCAAUAGAAAGAAAUAAGUCAAAACAUUAACAAUGGUUAUUCCUGGCUGAUAAUAAAAUGAGUCAUUUACAUUUUAUUUUCUAUCCU